rnacentral:rRNA from 1 species
GAUGAACGCUGGCGGCGUGCCUAAUACAUGCAAGUCGGGCGAACGAGAGGAAGGAAAGCUUGCUUUUCUGAAUCUAGUGGCGAACGGGUGAGUAACACGUAGGUAACCUGCCCAUGUGCCCGGGAUAACUUCUGGAAACGGAUGCUAAAACCGGAUAGGUAGCAGACAAGCAUUUGACUGCUAUUAAAGUGGCUAAGGCCAUGAACAUGGAUGGACCUGCGGUGCAUUAGCUAGUUGGUGAGGUAACGGCCCACCAAGGCGACGAUGCAUAGCCGGCCUGAGAGGGCGGACGGCCACAUUGGGACUGAGACACGGCCCAAACUCCUACGGGAGGCAGCAGUAGGGAAUUUUCGUCAAUGGGGGGAACCCUGAACGAGCAAUGCCGCAUGAGUGAGGAAGGUCUUCGGAUCGUAAAGUUCUGUUGUAAGAGAAAAACGACAUUCAUAGGGAAUGAUGAGUGAGUGAUGGUAUCUUACCAGAAAGUCACGGCUAACUACGUGCCAGCCGCCGCAGUAA